rnacentral:rRNA from 1 species
UACGUAGGGGGCAAGCGUUUGUCCGGGAAUCAUUGGGCGUAAAGAGCGUGUAGGCGGCUCGAUAAGUCUGCUGUGAAAGUCCAGGGCUCAACCCUGGAAGGCCGGUGGAAACUGUCGGGCUAGAGUCCGGAAGAGGCGAGUGGAAUUCCCGGUGUAGCGGUGAAAUGCGCAGAUAUCGGGAGGAACACCAAUGGCGAAGGCAGCUCGCUGGGACGGUACUGACGCUGAGACGCGAAAGCGUGGGGAGCAAACAGG